UGGGGGAAGGGAUUGUCUGCUCAGUACAGUAACCAAUGUUGAUGUGGAAGGGAAAUGACUAUGGCCAUAAUUACUUCAAGUGAGUGUAGAAACUGGAGAAGGUUAGAGCUUCCUUGUGUGCUGUGCAACUAGGGAUCAGUGUUCAAUAUGAAUGACAGAAGAACAAAGGUUAGACUUCUGGAACCACUCACAGUCAAACACAGUUGCCAAGCUCCCUUGAAUUAUGGAUUAGGGCUUUUAUUUGCUACUUGUUAUAACAACAAAAUUUUAAAAGAAGAGACAGGAAACCCUUUCUUCUCAUUGUAGAUGGAGGAACACAGAUGAACAGCCCAGGUCUCCAGCUAAAAGAGACAGUGAAAGGGAGUCCGUACUGGUAUUGAUAAGGAAAGAUACUUUAUAAGGACGGAUACGCAUGGUGGAAGCUCUCUUCUGAACAUGCACCCCCACAAAACACGUUUUGUUUUAGGCUUCCUAGCUGCAAACAGUACUCCUUGCUCAGCCAUUCCAGUUGUUAGUGGUAGAAGGCAGUCAUAGUGGUACUGGGCAGGGCAUAGUGACAGGACUGGGCUUGGGGCAGUGAAAAACUCCCAGCUUAGGGUGAGAUAAAUCUUUACACUUUAGCAAUAAACUCACUACUGAUUCGAGACCGCUCUUUUUUGCAUUCCCUCUACCAGAGGGAUGCACCAUCAACUUUCAGCUCAGACAGUCCAAUGCAGUAAUUGCUCUAACUGUUCCUGUGUGUUCCAGGGACAGCCUCCUGCUCAAGAGAAAGCCUGGGUUUAAAAAGCAGGAAGUCUUAUCCUCUGGUCUAGUUCAAAGCAUGUAUCAUCCAUGGGAGUAGGUAAAGAAAACCCUUGUCAGGAAAGCAGGCCCAAGAACUAAAUCCUACAUCAGACAACAGCCCUUCCUCAUGGUACACAUCUGCUUGCACUAAUGAGUCAGAGUAAUAGCACACUGAGACACAGUUCAAGUCAAGGCAGUAGGAGAGUCAUUUUGCAUCUCUGUCAACUCCAUUUUCUAUCCUGCAUUAUCCAGCUGCUGCACUUCUGUCAUAGCGCAACUGGAUUAUUAACUAAUCCAAAGUGCAGUUAAUAACAGCAGACUCCCACAUGAGGAUACAAUAUACUGCAUACAAACAUUGAACACAAAGGCGCAACCCCAGUGAAGUACCACAUCUUUUGUUAUAAAGGGAAAGAGUACAACAUAUUUGUCAUUUUUGCUGGCGUUCGGUCUCAGUUUGGGAGGAAGGUUCACAUACUCAACUUACUGCAAUUCAACACAAAGGAUUUCACCGAGAAGCCCUCUCCUGAGUUACCUACUGAGAAACCAGAUACAGUUCUCAGUGGAUUCUUCUUAAAGGAAAGCAGAAGGUCACUGUAAGACAGUCAACACUGCUCCUCCCUCAGGACAGCACACCCAUCUUCAAGCCAGGGAAGCCGUACCGCAUUCGAGAAAGGCUGCCAUGCAGAAAUUCAGCUGCAACAAUACAGACACAGGAAACAUCCUCAGAGAUUUCAUCUGGUGAGUGAAGUGAGUCUGAGGCAUUGUACUGUUGAAGUAGAUGAUUUGUAAGCAUUUGUUAUUGACAUAAGUCUCACUUUUUAUUUAUUUAUUUUACAGAACAUGCAAUGCUAAACAGCUGGCCAAAGCCAUCAUUUUUCUCCCCUUUCUCAUCCCUCAAGCUUGCUGAACUAAUAGCAUCAGCCAGGGAAGGAAGAAGCCCCAAGCACAGAAAUAGCAGGUGCCUCAUCUUUUUUUUGUGCCCAGGACCAGGACCACCACCACUAAGCAGCCAUCACCACACAGGAGGCACUAGAGCACCCCGGGAAGAGACAUCUUUGUCAUCUUUGUCAGCUUUGUCAGGAGGGGAGCUCCCCCUCCCCACCCCACAGAGGGAGUCCCCCAGCCAAGAGGGGAAACUCCUCCCUCACACCCAAUGCAGGGGGGCCCUCCACCCAGGAGGGGCCUCCCUAAGUGGGGGGUGGAGAAGAGGGAGAGCCUCCCCCCCACUCAGGAGGGGAGCUCUCCCCCACCAAGGAGGGGGGCUCCCCACUCUGGGGAGCUCACCCUCCCCACCUGGGGGGGCUCCCCAGAGCGGGGAGGAAGGAGAGCCCCCUCCCACCCAGGGGGGGAGCUCUCCCCCCCCAGGAGGGGGGCUCCCCACUCUGGGAGCUCACCCUCCUCCCCCCCACCCAGGGGGAGCUCUCUCCUCCCACUUCCGAGACUGACCAUCCCCACCUCCCACCCAAAAAAAAAAAAUAAUCUCUUUGAGAUAGUGCAAUCCCCACUCCACAGCCCCCCACCGCCAGCCAAAAGCACAGCCCAAGUGCAGGCUCUGCUUUUGGCUGACCACCACCGGCCCCCACACCUCAACAAACAAAGCCACACUGCUCCACCAUAGAGAUCAAAAAAAAAACACAAACAACAUACCACACCACCACUAACCAGCCAGCUCCAAGUCCCUAACCCAAAACCAAGUCCACCAACCUGGCCAAACAACACCAAGCCCAACGGGCUCCAAAACAAGACCACCAAGCCACACACAAGCCUCAGACCCAGCAAAACCAACCAGCCCCAAGCCGCUCCUUCUACCAACCCCCUAACCAACACUACAAACUCAACCACAAAGACAGCUCCAAGGCAAAAACCAGCACACAAGCCCGCCACACUGGCCCCUCACCUCCGCUACACGCUACUGCCAGUAACCAACAGAAACCUCAGACGCACAUCAAAACCAACCACCUACAAGGGAACUGAAACAGAGCCCCAAGACAGCAC
ensembl:lncRNA